UAGAAGGUAGUAUAAAGAAGUACUGUGGAUUUUGAGUUUAUAUGUGCAGGUUCGAUUCCUGUUCUUCUA
rnacentral:tRNA from 1 species